AGAUCUGUAAGCUCAAAACGGUUGAGACCCUUGUGGUUUGGAUAAUGGUGGUUCGAAUCCGCCCAGAUCUA
rnacentral:tRNA from 1 species